rnacentral:rRNA from 1 species
GACUCUCGGCAACGGAUAUCUCGGCUCACGCAUCGAUGAAGAACGUAGCAAAAUGCGAUACUUGGUGUGAAUUGCAGAAUCCCGUGAACCAUCGAGUUUUUGAACGCAAGUUGCGCCCGAAGCCUUUUGGUUGAGGGCACGUCUGCCUGGGCGUCACAU